rnacentral:lncRNA from 1 species
UUUUUAUUACAGUAAACAUAAACAUCGGUCUUUACUGCAGUAGCAGCUUACAGUAUAUUCUGCAUCCAUGCUGUCACACAGGGUUUUGCACAGCUACGGGAGAAAAAUGAAGUUCAGUAUUUGCAGGAAGAUGGAUCCCAGCCCAUUAAAACUAAAAUUUGCAGGAAGAUAGGCACUCUGAUGUAUCAUCUGUCAAGGAACUUGGAGAGAAGACUUUUGCAAACAAAUCUCUUCAAUCUAGCUGAGAGAAGCAUAGCAUAAGUUAAUGGACAAAGUCAUUUCAAUCAUUUUGGAAAUAAAACACAUUUUUAAACCA